rnacentral:rRNA from 1 species
UGGGGAAUUUUGGACAAUGGGGGAAACCCUGAUCCAGCCAUUCCGCGUGAGUGAAGAAGGCCUUCGGGUUGUAAAGCUCUUUUGUCCGGAACGAAACGGUUACGGUUAAUACCUGUGACUACUGACGGUACCGGAAGAAUAAGCACCGGCUAACUACGUGCCAGCAGCCGCGGUAAUACGUAGGGUGCGAGCGUUAAUCGGAAUUACUGGGCGUAAAGCGUGCGCAGGCGGUUUUGUAAGCCAGAUGUGAAAUCCCCGGGCUUAACCUGGGAAUGGCAUUUGGGACUGCAAGGCUUGAGUGCGGCAGAGGAGACUGGAAUUCCUGGUGUAGCAGUGAAAUGCGUAGAUAUCAGGAGGAACACCGAUGGCGAAGGCAGGUCUCUGGGCUGACACUGACGCUCAUGCACGAAAGCGUGGGGAGCAAACAGGAUUAGAUACCCCCGUAGUCC